GUCUAUGGCCAUGCUACCCUGAACAAGCUCGAUCCUGUCUGAUCUCAGAAGCUAAGCAGGGUCGGGCCUGGUUAGUACUUGAAUGGGAGACCACCUAGGAAGACCAGGUGUUGUAGGCA
rnacentral:rRNA from 1 species